AUCUUCUUUAGGAGGAUCCCGAAACCAAAAAAUUAGUAUCUGUUCUUUUCAGCUUAAUAUCUGAAACGCUGUUCAUUGAACAGCCAGUAUAUUAAACUGAUUUUUGGAUUUGGGCCGUGGAAUAGAGGCUUGCUUGCCUCGUCCCGGCCACGGGUUGGCCCGGUAUAGCAGUACAUCCGGGAUUCGGCCCACUCCCU
rnacentral:snRNA from 1 species